rnacentral:rRNA from 1 species
GACGAACGCUGGCGGCGUGCCUAAUACAUGCAAGUCGAACGCUGAAGGAGGAGCUUGCUUCUCUGGAUGAAUUGCGAACGGGUGAGUAACGCGUAGGUAACCUGCCUGGUAGCGGGGGAUAACUAUUGGAAACGAUAGCUAAUACCGCAUAAUAGUAGAUGUUGCAUGACAUUUGCUUAAAAGGUGCAAUUGCAUCACUACCAGAUGGACCUGCGUUGUAUUAGCUAGUUGGUGGGGUAACGGCUCACCAAGGCGACGAUACAUAGCCGACCUGAGAGGGUGAUCGGCCACACUGGGACUGAGACACGGCCCAGACUCCUACGGGAGGCAGCAGUAGGGAAUCUUCGGCAAUGGACGGAAGUCUGACCGAGCAACGCCGCGUGAGUGAAGAAGGUUUUCGGAUCGUAAAGCUCUGUUGUAAGAGAAGAACGAGUGUGAGAGUGGAAAGUUCACACUGUGACGGUAUCUUACCAGAAAGGGACGGCUAACUACGUG